rnacentral:rRNA from 1 species
CCUACGGGAGGCAGCAGUGGGGAAUAUUGGGCAAUGGAGGAAACUCUGACCCAGCGACGCCGCGUGAGGGAUGAAGGCCUUCGGGUUGUAAACCUCUUUCAGUAGGGAAGAAGCGAAAGUGACGGUACCUACAGAAGAAGCACCGGCUAACUAUGUGCCAGCAGCCGCGGUAAU